rnacentral:rRNA from 1 species
GAAGGGUGCAAGCGUUACUCGGGAAUUACUGGGGCGUAAAGCGUGCGUAGGUGGUGGUUUAAGUCUGCUGUGAAAGCCCUGGGGCUCAACCUGGGGAAUUGCAGUGGAUACUGGGUCACUAGAGUGUGGUAGAGGGAUGCGGAAUUUCCGGUGUAGCAGUGAAAUGCGUAGAGAUCGGAAGGAACAUCCGUGGCGAAGGCGGCAUCCUGGGCCAACACUGACACUGAGGCACGAAAGCGUGGGGAGCAAACAGGAUUAGAUACCCUGGUAGUCCACGCCCUAAACGAUGCGAACUGGAUGUUGGGUGCAACUUGGCACCCAGUAUCGAAGCUAACGCGUUAAGUUCGCCGCCUGGGGAGUACGGUCGCAAGACUG